rnacentral:rRNA from 1 species
UACGAAGGGUGCAAGCGUUAAUCGGAAUUACUGGGCGUAAAGCGUGCGCAGGCGGUUUGUUAAGUCCGUUGUGAAAGCCCCGAGCUCAACUUGGGAAUUGCAGUGGAUACUGGCAGGCUGGAGUACGGUAGAGGGAGGUGGAAUUCCCGGUGUAGCAGUGAAAUGCGUAGAGAUCGGGAGGAACACCAGUGGCGAAGGCGGCCUUCUGGACCAAUACUGACGCUCAUGCACGAAAGCGUGGGGAGCAAACAGG